rnacentral:rRNA from 1 species
GAUGAACGCUGGCGGCGUGCCUAAUACAUGCAAGUCGAGCGAAGCGGCGGAUGGGCUAGUAACGCGUGGGUAACAUGCCCUUAAGUCUGGGAUACCACUUGGAAACAGAAGCCAAUACCGGAUACUAAAGGAUGGACCUGCGACGCACUAGCUAGUUGGUAAGGUAACGUCUUACCAAGGCGAUGAUGCAUAGCCGAGUUGAGAGAAUGAUCGGCCACAUUGGUACUAAGACACGGCCUCAACUCCUACGGGAGGCAGCAGUAGGGAAUCUUCCACAAUGGACUAAAGUCUGAUUGGGCAACGGCGCGUUAGUGAGGAGGGUUUUCGGAUCGUAAAGCUCUGUUGUUGUUGAAGCGGUAAUCAACCAGAAAGUCACGGCUAACUACGUGCCAGCAGCCGCGGUAAUUC